GUGGACGUAAGGAGUAUGCAUUUCAUACCCACAGCGCAAGAAAUCUUUCGUUUGCUUGCAGCCCAGGAGCUGUGGAGGAGGCACAUGCUUGGCUGAGCACCGCUGCUGACGGGUGUCUGUGCAAGGAUGCUCUGGGCUGCGCCGCGCGGUGAGUCACUGGAGUAGGACGGCACAAACGCUCAUUUCCCCGCUUACUCAGAGGUCAGUGGCCAGACAAUAUCCCGAAGUCAGUUCCACUCCAGGACAGAAGAAACCGAAGAGAAGUGAUUUGAAACAUUCCUGUUCAAGGCUUGCUUUGAGUGCAGCUUUCAUCACGCCUGCGUAAACCCGAAGGAAAAUUACAUUUUAUUCACUGCAGAGUUCGUCGGGACCGUGUGUGAUGUCCACACUCACAAGUUAAUCAUAAAGUAAAUAUUUUGGGAGCAAACCGUGUAAGAGCCUGUGCUACCAGGCAGCCAAGGGAAUCAGCCACCAGUGGGGUUUCAGCAUGGGCUUGGUGUUGUGGGCUUUUUUGACAGAAGUGCUGACAGGCACCAGCGGCCCCGGCCAAAGCAAACAAGAGGAUUUUUCUUUCUCCCCUCUCCCCGGGCUAAAAGCAAUCCUUGGAGACAGAAAGCUGCAGCAUCGCAAGACUUUGGACUGAGAUGUGAGCUUUGGGACAUUUUUAUGGUUGCUUACAACCUGCCUGCAAACUCUUAAGCAAUGCCUUGGGGCCAUGGGGAUUAUGGGGCCCUGCUGGCUCUUGGGCCCACGGUCAGAAACAGGCCGGGGUAGGCCAGUAGGGUCUGUGUGUGUUCUUCGAUGGGGCAAAGAUUAAUAAAUCCCCCAAUAAAUACGUGUUUCCCUAA